rnacentral:tRNA from 3 species
AUAAAGAUAGGUUAAACAAACCACUGAGCUGUGGAUUCAGAGAUGUAUUUAAAUACUCUUUUUC